rnacentral:lncRNA from 1 species
CUCCAUCGUGGGGAUGUAAAAACCUGGGAGGCUGCAACCCAUGGAAGCUGUACGCAUGGGGUAGCAGACUAGUGGUUAGAGGAGACCCCUCCCAAGAUACAACGCAGCAGCGGGGCCCAACACCAGGGGAAGCUGUACCCUGGUGGUAAGGACUAGAGGUUAGAGGAGACCCCCCGCACAACAAUAAACAGCA